AUCUAAAAGGAAAGGAGGGGAGAGGAGCGCCCUCUUCAGACUGAGCAAGCCUGCUUUCUGUCUGCUCCUUAAGGACGCUUCACUGUCUUGUUGGAGAUCAAGAAGCAGUGCCUGACAUGGGUAUUUCUGAACAGGAGCCAGACCCACGCAUUAUGGAACCCUCAGUGAAACAAGGGACACCAAGAAGAAGACAGGUGCAGCAUUACAACCCCUUUCUGGGACAACCUUGAAACACAGAUUGCCUCGUCUACUGUGAUGGUAUUCCGGGCAGCAUUGUUUCUGACCAAGAAGUCACUUCACAGUCAGAGAAUUGUGACAGUGAACCCAUGUUCACAGAAUCCACUGGUCUACCAUGUUCCCCACCAUACUGAAGCAGCUGGCCUGA